rnacentral:rRNA from 1 species
AUUGAACGCUGGCGGCAGGCCUAACACAUGCAAGUCGAACGGUAACAGGAAGCAGCUUGCUGCUUCGCUGACGAGUGGCGGACGGGUGAGUAAUGUCUGGGAAACUGCCUGAUGGAGGGGGAUAACUACUGGAAACGGUAGCUAAUACCGCAUAACGUCGCAACACCAAAGAGGGGGACCUUAGGGCCUCUUGCCAUCGGAUGUGCCCAGAUGGGAUUAGCUAGUAGGUGGGGUAACGGCUCACCUAGGCGACGAUCCCUAGCUGGUCUGAGAGGAUGACCAGCCACACUGGAACUGAGACACGGUCCAGACUCCUACGGGAGGCAGCAGUGGGGAAUAUUGCACAAUGGGCGCAAGCCUGAUGCAGCCAUGCCGCGUGUAUGAAGAAGGCCUUCGGGUUGUAAAGUACUUUCAGCGGGGAGGAAGGGAGUAAAGUUAAUACCUUUGCUCAUUGACGUUACCCGCAGAAGAAGCACCGGCUAACUCCGUG